GCUAGUCACAGCCCAUUAACCAUCUGUUCCUCUAUUAAGCAACCUUCUUUAUAUAAUGUAAGUAUUUAAUUUUAAUAAACUUUAUCUACCACGCAUUUAUCUUAGACAUAAUAAGGAACUAUUGAGAGCAUGGUCAAUGGGCCAUGUAAAAACCAUCAUAUUUUUGAUAGAAUAGCUUCUGUGUAAGGCAAGGGGGGGGGAAUCUACCCCAAGAGUAGUUUUCAAAUAGCUUUAAGAAAAAAUAGUAUUUUCUUAACUUCAGCAUGAUCAAAAGGGGAGGAAAGGCCAUAUUCUGAGAUAAUUAAUGCUUAAAUGCAGAAUGGCACUGGAGAAGCCUUGCUUUUUGCUAUGAAGAUCAGCACAGUGAUCAAUUUAGAUUGCAUUUCAGAGACACCAAAUCUCACAUCUUCUUGGCAGUACUUAGUGAUGGCUAUUCCCCCACCCUCAAGAGCUUUGUCAGCCGGUCUUAUGAAUUGUACAUCAUCCAACCAUAGCAGAUACUGCAGCGCUAUAGUUAAACAUUCUAAAGUGACUUGAAAUCAAUUGGAAGCCUAGCUUUAUACAGAUAUCAUCCAAAUUCACAGCAGAGCUCUUCAAGUGUGGGUAUAUUAGCCAAAGAAGGAAGAAUAAAAGAUUUUGACUUUUGUAUAUAUACACAGCUUUGGAUGUGAUGAGGUUUUUGCCAUUAGGCACCUAGGUUCAGCCAUCGUGCUAGUGUAUGUUAUUAUUAACAAUACUAUUAAUAAUGCUGAUGCAUAUAAUUGCAGCACUUUUCCUCUCGUAGGAGGGCCAGCAGUAGGGAACUCCUGCACGGAGUAUCAUAAAGAGGAGUGGGAGAAAAGGAUGGGUUGCUUUACUGUAUUAUAUUAUAGUUUCCAAAUGUACAUGAAGUUGUAAUACAAGCAAAAGCAAAACUCCCAGAAAGGAGUUUCAAGGAGCUUACAUCUAAUUCAACUUAAUUUUGGCAGAUGGAUAGAAAUAUUAUUAGUAGCAUAAGUAUUGGUAUUAUUAUAAUAUUUAUAUUUAUACCCCUCCUUUUUCCCCUGACAAGGAUUCAAGAUGGCUUACAGGUAAAAAUAAGAACAGCCAAAAACAUUGAGAGAAAAAGCACAAUAAUUGAAAAACAUAUAUAUAAUUAAAACACACACACACACAAUCUAUUAAAAAGAGACAGAUAAUUACAAGUAACAAAAUAGUACAGAAUCAGCCCUUUCAUUAAAAACAGUCAGUUCCCAGAAGCCUGUUGGACAGAAGGCUUCAUCUGCCAAUGGAAGGACAACAAGGAAGGAGCCAGUCUGGCUUCUCUAGGGAGGGGGUCCCAAAGUUGUCUGGGAGCAGCCACCACCAAGAAGGCCCUCUCCUGUUUCCCAGCCCAAUGGACUUGUGAAGGUGUGGGGCUGAGGGAAGGCCCUCUUCUGAAGUUCCCAGGCAGAUUUGUAUGAGGGAAUAUGGCAUCUCAGAUAUACCAUAUUCCCACCUGUGAGGUGGGUCAGGCCAAGAAAUGAUGGGUAGCUGAACAUCAACCAGGGAGCAUCAUAACUAAAAGAGGCUUGUACUGAGUCUCUACUUCAGCAUGGCAUGUAUUGCACAUGCACACCACACGGGCUCUUAUUUGUCAGAAUCAACUGCUGAGAACUCUCUCUUCCAGUGUGCCAAUCACUUCCCUCUGGCAUAAUCCCAAGCGCGUGUAUGGGGUGUUGGGAGAGGAGUACAGUGGUACCUUGGUUCUCAAACACCUUGGUACUCAAACAACUUGGAACCCAAACACUGCAAACCCAGAAGUAAAUGUUCUGGUUUGAGAACUUUUUUCAGAAGUCGAAAGUGCUCCGUUUUGAGUAUUACACUUCCGUUUUGAGUGUUACGCUGCCGUCUGUCUGUUUUGCUAUUUCUGUGAGUUUUUGUUUUUGCUGCUCUUUUUUGUUUUGUUUUUGGGACAGUGUGGUACCCAGUUCAGCUACUGAUCGAUUGAUUGUGUAACUGCAGUACAUUGUUUAUUGCUUUCAUUUUAUGGAUCAAUGGCCUUGUUAUAUAGUAAAAUUCAUGUUAAACUGCUGUCUUUUUUUAAAAAAGAAUUUUUAUUAUGUUUUCAUUUACCAAAUUAAACAUAUCAAGCCAAUUAAUCCAAAUUAUAACAAUACACAUCAUAUAAUCCAAUUAUUUCCCAAUUGUAAAUUUUUUGUGGGGGGUACCCAUGCUUCUUGAUCGGCAGGAGUCCAAUCCUCGAAUAUUUCUGCUGCUUUCAUAUUUACAAUGAUAUUUUCAGUCCCUCUUCUCAGUCCUUGUCGUUACGCAUUUUCCUUUUCAUUCACCUCCGAAUUAUCUCCGCAAGUGGGUUAAAAAAAACAGUUAUUUAUAUUUCUGUGUGGAUUCUGUAUUGCUCUCUCGUGAAUCACUCUCAUCCAAUAGUCCAGGCGUUUCCGCUCGAGCGGGCAAUCGCCAUCUUGUCAUUCCGAUGAAAUACAGUCUAAAAGCCCACUCGCUAACUUUCCAGACCUGUUGCAUCGUAAAUUAGUCUUUUCCAGGAGGGCUGCCUCUUCCGGUUCACAAUUCCAUCAGAUAACAAAUCUUCGGCUCGCCCUCCCUAAGACCAAACUCCCUGCAACAGGUGUCUGUCCUUCUGUAUCAAAUCUCAAUUCUUGCUGCCUCACAAAGAGAGCCUUUGUUUUUCCAAGUCCUUCACAGAAUAAAACCUUUAAAUUCAUAUUAUUUUUCCCCACACAGCUCAUUUUUAACCCCAUUUGCCAAUUAGUUAUUGUGACGGAUCUUCUGAGGGGGAGGAUUAUUAGGCAAUCACAUGAAACAAGAAAUAAAAAGUCAUUUCCCCCCCCUUCCAUUCCGUUGCCUUCCACAUACCAGCAUGUCUGUAGUACUUUGAUGUAAUCUUCCAUCUCAAUUUUCUUCCUUUCAGUGGCCAAAUUAUUAGCAGAUAAAACCUCCUGCCUUUCUCGAAGCAUGUGCGUUAGCUUUCUCCAAAUUUUUCCUUUUAAGUAACGCAACUAGUUUCGCUCCUGGAAGCAGCUUCGGAGCAGUGCCGAAACCCACCAAGGGUUGUGCACCCAGUGCCUCACACCCCCUCCUUCUUCCGAACUUGGGGGUGAUUUAUGGCAACCACGGGUGAAAACUGCAUCUUUCCAUUCCCUGGAGAGACAAAGGAGACUGAUUUACUCCCCAUAAUCAGCCUCAAAUUACCUCAUGCGGGCUGGAUAGAUGGUAUUAUCCGCCAUCUUCCAAGGCGGCCCUAGCGCCCCCCCCAUGUUAAACUGCUGUCUUAGGUGUUUUUUUAAAAGUCUGGAACAGAUCAAUCCAUUUUCCAUUACUUUCUAUGGGAAAGUGCGCCUUGGUUUUGGAACGCUUUGGUUUUGGAACGGACUUCUGGAACUGAUUAAGUUUGAGAACCAACGUACCGCUGUAGUACCUCUGGUGGCUAAACAUGCUUCUUCUCAGGUGGCUUGCCUACCUUUGGUCUGCAUCCUGCAUCCAGCACCCAGACACGUGUGCCAACUCUAGGGGGCCUGGUGGCACAUGAUGCGCGAACAUGAUGCCACACGUGGUGCACAAUCCAGUUUCAGUGGCCGGCUCCUCCAGAGUGCUCGGCCUUCUCCAGAAGAAGUGGCAUCAUGACACAUGUCAAGCGCAUGAUGUCACACAUUCAAGACGCGUGAACUAGGGACUUCCCGUGCAUGCAAAGACAUGCUCUGGUGGGUCGAGCAAACAAGACCAGUUGUGGGUCCAAUAAGAAAGAAGCAAGAUUCUGCACUUGCUGUAGAGGGAAGUGAGGGGCAGGUGAGGCUCAUCCACCUGGGAAGGUAGCCCAUCUAGGAGAAGGAAAACUCUGAUCCUAAACCUCCACUGCCUUGCAGGACAUCUUUGGGAGAAGAAAAGGCUCAGCAGUAAACCCUACACAAAUCCAGAAUGGAGUCCCUACAGUGGUUGGAUGGCACCUUGUACUCCUCCUUUUGGCAACUCCUGCAGCCAAGCUGGUGCCAAAUGUAUCGCUCUGCUUACCUUUGGAUCACAUCAGAGAGGCCAAGAGGGAGGUCUUGUCUUUUGGGCAGCCCAGAACCUCCAUACACACUGCACAGGCCGGCGCCCCAGGGAGGUCACUUUGGUGACGCUAACACAGUGGUUUGACGUUGUCCCUAGAGGUGCACUCCAUUGUCUCUUGAGAUAGACAGAUAAUAACAACAACAAUUUAUUAUUUAUACCCCACCCAUCUGGCUGGGUUUCCCAGCCACUCUGGGUGGCUUCCAGCCGAAUAUUAAAAACUAUACAGCCUCAGACACUAAAAACUUCCCUAAAGAGGGCUGCCUUCAGUUGUCUUUUAAAAGUAAAAUAGUUGUUUAUUGCCUUGACAUCUGCCGGGAGGGCGUUCCACAGAGCAGGCACCACUACCGAGAAGGCCCUCUGCCUGGUUCCCUGUAACCUCACUUCUUGCAGCGAGGGAACCACCAGAAGGCCCUUGGCGCUGGACCUGAUGGGGGUGGAGAUGCUCUUUCAGGUAUACUGGGCCAAGGCUGUUUAGGGAUUUAAAGGUCAGCACCAACACUUUGAAUUGUGCUCAAAAACAUACCGGGAGCCAAUGUAGGUCUUUCAAGACCGGUGUUAUAUGGUCUCGGCGGCCACUCCCAGUCACCAGUGUAGCUGCCGCAUUCUGGAUUAAUUGCAGUUUCUGUGUCACCUUCAAAGGUAGCCCCACGUAGAGCGCAUUGCAGUAGUCUAAGCGGGAGAUAACUAGAGCAUGCACCACUCUGGCGAGACAGUCCAUGGGCAACAACAACAGUCCCAUGUGUCUGCAACAAAGUCGAUGGCUAUUCAGUCACCGUCAGGUUGAAAAUAUCCACAUGACAGGCCCCACCAGUGGUCCUUUGCCCCUACCUACCCAGUGGCAUGGGUGCUGCUUCCCUGUAGAGGGAUACUUGCCACUGCUGCACUGGGUGCUGUCAGAAAGAAGGAGACUCUUAGGUGCAAUGCUUGGGAUUCACUGAGGCAGCAUUGACUGCGGCAAAAAAUAUUACUUUCCAGUGCUCCAGGUCUUCUUCAAAUCAGACACAUAAUGGCAAAACAGAUGAUUUUCAUAGACGUUGGGGUUAUUUUAUCAGUUAAAACAUGUUGUCUUUCUCCUGAAGGUUAGCAAGAAGUAUUUCGUGGGAGUUGCCAUAGGAACCUUGCACACACAAAACUGAAUGUAAAAAGAAAUUUUAUGGUGAGCUGAAAGGAACGGCAGAUGAAGGAAGGGAGGUUACAAACCCUCUCUAUAAAUCAUUUACAGAACAUUUAAAAUGGGGCAAUAAAACUGACAGACUUUUUUUUCUUUUGAUCUUGGGCCUUCUGUUGAGCAAAAUGUUCAAGAUAGAUUUCACCUUGUGUUAACAACGAGUUACUUCUCACAAAACUUUUGCAAAAUCUGUGUGCCUCUUGGCAAUUAUGAAAGGCAUAUAUAUAAACUGCCACUUUUCUUAGCAAAGCUACAGUAUUUUUUUGCAUAUCUUAUUGAGUCUGGUUAUUUCUCUAGAAGGGAAACCAUUGCAUUGCAUAAAAAUAACAGACUCUGAUGGUUUCUAAACAUGUGCCCCCCCCAAAAAAACACACAAAGGUCCAUGGAGCAAAACAUGGUGGUUCCAUCCAUUUCUAAUGGACAUUGUGAUGGAAAAAACCAGACUCAGCAGAGGCACAUAACUCCUCUGCUUUUGACAGAAGAAACUCUAGCCCUCGAUGAAUAGCUGUUCUCUCUCUUGCAUCAUGGCUAUACCUCCAUGGGUUGGUAAGGAGUCCUUUUUAUGUGAGAUUCUAUUUAAAAAGGGACGCGGGCGGCACUGUGGUCUAAACCACAGAGCCUAGGGCUUGCCGAUCAGAAGGUUGGUGGUUCGAAUCCCCGUGACAGCGUGAGCUCUCAUUGCUCAGUCCCUGCUCCUGCCAACCUAGCAGCUCAAAAGCAUGUCAAAGUAGAUAAAUAGGUACCGCUCCAGCGGGAAGGUAAAUGGUGUUUCCGUGUGCUGCUCUGGUUCACCAGAAGUGGCUUAGUUGUGCUUGCCACAUGACCCGGAAGCUGUACACUGGCUCCCUCGGCCAGUAAAGCGAGAUGAGCACCGCAACCCCAGAGUUGUCCGCAACUGGACCCAACAGUCAGGGGUCCCUUCAACUUUUACCUCUUUAAAAACAUGUACUGAUUUAACUCUUGGGUUUUGACUGCUCUAAGUAAUAACGGAGCAGCCUUUGCUUUCUCAUAAGGUCUGCCAUGCUUUUAUCCUUUAUACACACCAGAUUAAUUUAUUCUAGCCCUCCAUAUGCUAAUCAGCUCCUGAUGUGGCAUUGAGGAGAAGCAAAACAUGAAUCUUUUAGCAUGCAGAUGGGUUUCAAUCAGACAUGUUUUGGAGUAAGCGUGGGCUGGGAGCAUGGCUACGACUCCUGCCAACAGCAAAGCAAGGUUCAGAAUGAUCUGGUUACAGGUUGCUUAUCCACAAACAUCCCCACGGAACCUAUAAACAUCCCCCCCCCGCCCCUUAGUUUGCUUGUCAUAAAAUACCCAGGGAGUGUAACUCUGCCAGUGUUGCUUGCACUGCCUGGAAAUACUGUCAAUCUGCAGCAAAGCAGCUUCAGGCAGAGAGAGAGAGAGAGAGAGAGAGAGAGAGAGAGAGAGAGAGAGAGAGAGGGAGAGAAUAUACUUGCAGACUGGAUCAUUUCAACAUGUUGCCACAUAAUAUUUUGUGGAGUACUUAGUGAGAACCAUUUUCUCAAUGAGAACAUUAAUAUUUCUGGGAACUUUUGCUAUCUUCUCUAAUGCUGCUAUGUACUGAAGUUCUCACCCUGGGCCAGCAGGGGGAUACUGUAGAUAGUUAUGCAAAUGAAGGAUCGAAAGUGACGUUCAGUGAUUGGAUGGAUACUGUAGAUAGUUAUGCAAAUAAGGGAUCAAAAGUGACGUUCAGUGAUUGGUUAGUUUUAGAAAAUUGUUACAGUUAUGUUGUACUGGAGCUCUAUAUAAGCAGGCUGACUGAACCCUUCAGUUCAGUUCUGUUCUGGCCUGUGAGUAAACAAGAGCUGUUUGAAGAAUCGCUGUGUCGUCUGAUAUGUUCACCCACAACUUAACAAGUGCCGCCUCUCUCUUCUGCGGAGAGAAGUACAGUGGUACCUCUGGAUGCGAACAGGAUCCGUUCCGGAGCCCCGUUCGCAUCCUGAGCAGAACGCAACCUGCGUCUGCGCGUGCGCGGCUCAUGAUUCACCGCUUCUGUGCAUGCGCACGACGUCAUUUUGAGUGUCUGCGCAUGCACAAGUGGUGAAACCUGGAAGUAACACGUUCUGUUACUUCCGGGUCACCGGGGAGCGUAACCUGAAAAUGUUCAACCUGAAGCGACUUUAACCUGAGGUAUGACUGUAUUAUCUGUAUAGAAAUGGCUCUUUCGGAGAUGAUUCUCCCGUGACAGAGAAUCAUAGAAUUGUAGAGUUGGAAGGGACCACGAGGCUCAUCUAGUCCAACCCAAUGCAAUGCAGGAGUCUUUUUGCCCAACGUGGGGUUCAAACCCAUGACUCUGAGAUUAAGAGUCUCAUGCCCUACCGACUGAGCUAUCCCAAGAAUGUUUGCUGUUUGUAAUAGCAGAUAUAAUGAAGACAGAGAAACAGUCUUCUAUGGAAGCAAAAGCCCAGGUUAUACAAGAACAGAAUCAUUUUAUAAAACUUCCUUUGGAGUGAAUCAUUUCAGGUCACAGGUAUGGUUUUUCUCAUGUUUGAAUACUCCCACAUGGGGUUGGGAAUCCCUGCAAAUAGAUAAACAUCUGGUGAGGAGGAAGGUUAGGCAGAACCUAUCUCCCUAAGAUACUAGUAUCAGCACAGCAUGGUUUGUUUGUUUGUUUGUUUGUUUGUUUGUUUGUUUGUUUUUAAAAGGAAAGUAAAGAUUCUGCAGUCUCCAUGUACAGCCUGAAUGGUAUAGGCCAGGCAUAGGCAAACUCGGGCCUCCAGAUGUUUUGGGACUACAGCUCCCAUCAUCCCUGACCACUGGUCCUGUUAGCUAGGGAUCAUGGGAGUUGUAGUCCCAAAACAUCUGGAGGGCUGAGUUUGUCUAUGCCUGGUAUAGUCCAAAGUUAGCUUUACCACUUGAUUGGAUAAACUGGUCCACAGAGAGCUAGGAGUGGGAAAUGAGAGUAUUGAUGAAGGCAUGCUUUUGAGGUGAGAACAGGAGAUCAAGGAGGUGAAAAUUGAACUGCUGGUAAAACCCUGGAUCUGAAAUUAAACUAGGGCGCUGGAAACUCUGCCCUUCUUUUGUGCAUAGACUGACUUUGUACAUUUCACGAGAGGCUAUAGUUAGUGGAGAAACAUAGUUGCUGAAUUAUAAAUAGCGCAAAGGUUUAAAGCUCAGCCUUGGCAGGCUUAUAUGUUUAUUGUUUUUUUCUUAAUUCUUUACAGACAUUAUAUUUUAUUUAGUCAGUUUGCCUCAUGCCCUUCCUCCCAAAGGAGUUAAGAGUGGUAAGCCUCAGAAUGUAACACUGGGUAGUAUUCAGCUAUGUUGAGCAGACCCACAGAAAUUAAUGGACAUGGCUUCGUUGUGCUCAUUAGCUUCAAUCGGUCUACUCUAAAACUUAGCUGAAUGCCAUUUAAAAUAAGAUAAAGACAUGCCUAAAAGCAUUUAAAUAAUGAGCUUUUUAUUGGAGCGAGUUCUUAACUCUUUGGUGCAUCAGUUAAAAAUACCGUAUUUUUUGCACCAUAACACUCACUUUUUUCCUCCUAGAAAGUAAGGGGAAAUGUCUGUGUGUGUUAUGGAGGGAAUGCCUACGGGUGCUGGGGGGGAUCUGCUGCAGUCGUGAGCAGAGGAUCCAUGGUUCCCCUUCCUUCCCUCCUCCGUGGCUCGCUUUGAAACAGCAAAGCGGGAGAAGAGUCGCUGAGUGGGGAGGAGAGAGGGACAGAGAGCCUGCUUGCUUUAAAGGAGCAAAGCGGGAGAGGAGAGGAGCCUUCUCCCCUUAUACCCCUCUUCUUCAUUAUUAGCAGCAUCCUUCUCCACCCACCCCACGCAUGCUCCUUGUCCCUUGAGUGCUUUUCCUUCCCUCCCCACUUAAAACGUGGUUACAAAGCACGGAUCCACAUGGAUCCUCAGGAUUUUUGCAUUGGGCUACUCCAAACUCACUGUCAGAUCACAUGUCUGUGGCCACAGCAUGAACCACAAAAAUCAUACAUCCACUGUUUCGUUUAGAAUAUUUUUUUUCUUGUUUUCCUCCUCUAAAAACUACGUGCGUGUUAUGGUCGGGUGCGUGUUAUAGAGCGAAAAAUACAGUAAUAAUAAUUAAAGUGUCACAUGUCCGAACUCCAGUUUUUUGGGGGGAAAUUGACCAUUUUCUCUUCAUUAGACAUUGUUGGAAAAUACAGUGUGUGUGUGUGUGUGUGUGUGUGUGUGAACAAAGGGGGAAGUGGUAUUUGCAAUCUUGGUAUGCGCUUACCCACAGCAUCCUUGGGCAAAUGUGAAUACCUCACCUAUUACCAGCACUGCCUGCACCUGUUUUUAAAAGGACACACUGUGGGGCAAGGCAGAAUCAAUCUGCAAUGAGCUUCUAUUUCAGAAAUGAAACCUGCUUCUCAAGAAGUGCUUUACAGGGGCAAAAAGAUAUACUAGAUCAGGCUUCCUCAACCUUGGCCCUCCAGAUGUUUUGGCCUACAACUCCCAUGAUCCCUAGCUAGCAGGACCAGUGGUCAGGGAUGAUGGGAAUUGUAGUCUCAAAACAUCUGGAGGGCCGUGGUUGAGGAAGCCAGUACUAGAUUACUAGAUACUAUUUUAGAUUGUGUGUGGACUAUGUAGAGAGGAAAAGUGCUGAGUUUGCAUUGAUUCUAGAAGUAAAUGUCAUUUGUCUGUGACCGCUGUCAACCACAGAAAGACAAUCCAACUGCCCGCCACUAAACUAAACCAAAACAAUCAGACUCAGUUUGAGGCUGAUCUUCUAGCAUGGCUUUUUUUUAUCAAAAUGAACAUGCCUGCAUUUCUGUUUAGCGAUGGAUAGUGCCCUCCAGCUGGUUAGAAGCUGGAGUGUAAUUAUAUUGUUAUGAGUUUGUGAGUGCCAAACCCCUUUAAUCCCUGGACCCAGUAAGUGUCAAAACUUAAUCAAGGCUUGGGGUGUUAAAAUGGGGGCCAGACCAUUCUAAUCCCUGGUUCCAGCAACUGUUCAAAGCUAAAUAAGCCAGGCUAGUUUCCGGUGUUGAGGUGAUUGCUUGCGUGAUGGACUAUUAUGGGGGGGAAAGAGAAGGUGAUGGGCCAAUAAGAAAGCAAAUAAAAGGGGGCUCUGUGUCAGAUGGCAAAUGGGUGGAGCCCCUCCUCCAGCUCUUAAAUAGCGAGGACAAAAGUCAGCGUUUAGAGUUGAAAGGGUGUGUGAGCUGACUUCGAGGGAAAAGUGGCAGACUGGAAAAAGCAGAGAGUGAGCAAGCCAUGACAGAUCUUUGCUUGAAUUCAAGGCUGCAGCUAUGAGAGAAGGAGACCCUUUCGGUGUGUUGUUGCUGUGAACCCCUCCAUCAUAGGCCCAGCUUCUAUAUAUGUGUAAAUAAACCUUAUAUCCUAAAGACACCACAGUCUCUGCAGAGCAUCAUUUCAAAAAGGCAACAUGGACCCUGAGUAAGUACCUAGAACUCCUAGAAUCUCACAGCGCUUGGAGACUAGAAUGGCGUACAACAAUAUUUUACACAAAAGUGACUUUUGGCAGGACCUGCCAAAGCUUAGUCUGAGUUGCUUCCACAGUUUCUCAAACCACUUGGCUCCAAACAGUAAAUUCAAGGUUUCUCCGGAAGGUCCAAACUCUUGCUCUGGUAAGAUUUAUGGUGGCCCCACAAACAAACCACCCUCCUCUAUCAGAAGCAAAGCCUCGCUCUUCCCCUCCCUGUGUCUUAUGUCUAUCUCUUCUCCAGUGGAAAUGGGGAAACAGAAAGGAGGUCCGCUUUCCACUCUACAAGCAAGCAAGCAAGCAAACACAAACUCUGGAUCCCUCUCCCCAUCAAAUGGCAAUGAUUUUUCUGGUGCCAUCAUAACUGAAGAAAAUGCAAACAAAAGCCCACGUAGCAGUCAGUCGAUUGGGUUUGGAGUCUGCUUUUCUUUUUCAGUUUUCCCGGGAUUGGAAAAAUCUGAAUUCACUGUACAAAAAAAGGGCUGGUGGUUUCUGAAUAAGGGCAAUAUUGUAUGAAUGAUGCCCAGAAAUAUUGGACUCAAACAGCCUCAAAGUCCAGUAUGGAAAAGCCCUUAGGAGCGGCUCUCUUCCCUGUCAGGUCUGGAGUUUUACAAUUUAGAGCAGAGCUUGCAUCUUUUUCUCAGAAAUGCAAGAAGCUCCCUAAAGGCCUAUGCUAAUAUAAACUGAUGCAAGAGCCUUGCCAGCUUGCCUCUGCCAGCCAGUUUUUAGCAAUAAUAAUUUAUUAUGUCACGAUCUUGAAAGGCUAAAAGGGAUUUGUGCACUGUAAAUAUCAUGUUGUUAUAUCUCCUAUGUUUUUAAUCAUUUAUGUGCUUGUAUUCUAAGCGCUGGCUGGUUUCUCUUGCUAGCUUGUACUUCUAUAGGAAUAUAAAUCUUUCACCACAUACUAUUUCUGUUCCGCCGCUUAGAAGAAAAAUCCCUGUGUUAAUUAUGCACAACCUACAUAGAGAGACAGCCAAGAGCUGUGUUUGUUAAAAGGUGAAGAGUUUAGGGACAGGACGAAUUUUUCACCCUGACUCAAAUUAAGGGAGAAGAAGCUGGGGCAGCCUCGCUCGGAAGUCCCAGGGCCACAUUAGCAUCCUGAAGCCUCUGGCGCAGGGAACAAGUUCUUGAGAAAAGGCUUAGCCCAGUGCAGUCCAUAAACAUUCCUCGGCUCGUGAAGCCCUUGUCUUGUGGCAUCUGGCUUUAUGAAUCCCAUUAAUGCCAGCUUGCUCACGCAAAGCCUCAGAGGGAACCUAACAAAGCUCUCUAUGCCCAUUCAGAGUGAAGUAAAUCCAUUCCAGAUGCUACAAUCCAUUCCUUAUGCUGGGAGUGGCAGAAAGCAUUUUUUUGUACUAUCCACCAAAACAUUUUGGUGAGGCGCCUCCCUCCAACAUUCCUCAGGUGAAAAGAGGGACAUUUUUCAGUUCCCCUGACCCUCCACAACACCCCAUUUUUAUGUCUCUUUCCUUCACAGAACAGAGUGGUGCAUGCUCUAGUUAUCUCCCACUUGGACACAGUGUUGCAACCCCCAGAGCAGAGAACAGGUGGGAGCAUGGCUGGCGCGUGUCCCAGGGGUGUAGCGCGCCACCCACGGAGGUGUGGCUAGUGGCGUUGGGGUGUGGUGCAUCACCACGGGGUUUGGUGCAUCGGUGUGGCACAUCAGCGCGGGGGCAUGGCGCUCGUCCAGGGUUGCGUGGCAUGCAGCCCAGGUGGGCUCAGCAUGCGCCAUGCAUCCUGAGGGGUGGCAGCGAUGCCACCCUUUCCCCAAAUGGUGCCCGGGGCGGUGCACUCCCCCGUCCUCCCCUCGUACACCAGUGCUUGGACUACUGCAAUGCGCUCUGCGUGGGUGGGGCUACCUUUGAAGGUGACCCGGAAACUACAACUAAUCGAGAAUUCAGCAGCUAGACUGGUGACUGGGAGUGGCUGCCAAGACCAUAUAACACCAGUCCUGAAAGACCUACAUUGGCUCCCAGUAUGUUUCUGAGCACAAUUCAAAGUGUUGGUGCUGACCUUGAAAGCCCUAAACAGCCUCGGCCCAGUAUACCUGAAGGAGCGUCUCUACCCCCAUUGUUCAGCCCAGACACUGAGGUUCGGCUUCUGGCAGUUCCCUCACUGCGAGAUUUGAGGUUACAGGGAACCAGGCAGAGGGCCUUCUCGGUAGUGGCACCCACCCUGUGGAAUGCCCUCCAACCAGAUGUCAAGGAGAUAAACAACUAUCUGACUUUCAGAAGACAUCUGAAGGCAGCCCUAUAUAGGGAAGUUUUUAAUGUUUGAUGUUUUAUAGUGUUUUUAAUAUUCUGUUGGGAGCUUCCUAGAGUGGCUGGGGAAACUCAGCCAGAUGGGCAAGGUAUAAGUAUUAUUAUUAUUAUUAUUAUUAUUAUUAUUAUUAUUAUUACUAUUAUUUUAUUUCCUGUCAGAAGAAGGGCGAGUGCCACCACCAUUAUAUCACCCUCCACCAUCCUGAGAAAAACCCUUAAUCCUGAUUUUAUUUUAUACCUUGGUAGAUUUACAAAAAGAAAAAGAAACAUACCAAUAAAUAAAUUUUAGAAAGGGGCAAGGUUACAUGUGGACGCACAAAGCAUUUUUUGUUUUAAAAAAUCAAGACUCCUUGUGCUUUGCUCCCCCUUUCUUCCUGCCCAAGUCAGCCCUGUCCUCUGCCUGCUCCUCAGAGAUAGAACAUCACACAGGGCUGGUCCUUGUUGGUGGCAACAUCUCUUCCUUCUUGCCUGCUCUCCAGUAGCUUGAGAGCCAGUGUGGUGUAGUGGUUAAGAGCGAUAGUCUCGUAAUCUGGGGAACCGGGUUCGCGUCUCCGCUCCUCCACAUGCAGCUGCUGGGUGACCUUGGGCUAGUCACACUUCUCUGAAGUCUCUCAGCCCCACUCACCUCACAGAGUGUUUGUUGUGGGGGAGGAAGGGAAAGGAGAAUGUUAGCCGCUUUGAGACUCCUUAAAGGGAGUGAAAGGUGGGGUAUCAAAUCCAAACUCUUCUUCUUCUUCUUCAGCUUCUACAACCUGCCUAAGGGAGCAGCUAAGGGAGGAGGCCAGCAGCAGAGGCAAUGGAGAAGCAAUAGGAAGCUUCCUCACAGCUGCCACUACCACCAUCACUCGGGACAAGCGUCCGCUCAUCCUCCUCCCUGAGCUCAGCGGUGGGGGCACUGGAAAUAGAUGCAUUCUGGGAUCAAAUCAGAAGCUGGGAUGGCUUUCAGAAUUCUGGGACUGUCCCUGGAAAAUCAAGACACUUGGAGGGCGUGUUAUAGGGUGGCAGGAGUAUCGGAUUGGAUUUCUGGGUGCACCACACUCCCUGCCCCACUUCCAGUUAACUGGCACCAAUUGCUUUUUCUUUCCUUUCUGCAGCUGUCUCGCUAAUUUAUUUUGUUAGUGUGGCUUAAGGCUUGCCCUGGGCUUUUCCCUAGGAAAACCCUCAGUUUAGCACUGAAUGGGAACAUAUAGAGCUUUUUGGGGAUCACCAUUUGUUCUGAUUUAGUGCUAAGGGUGGGUUUUUCCAGGGGAAAGCAGCGGGGCAAAGGCAGACCUGUGCCUGGAAAGCAUGGGACCUGCGUUUUCUGGGUAUGGGGCAAGCAGAAGUAUGGGCAAGCCCUUGCUUGAGAUGUCAUUCCGCAGUGUUCUUCAGCCUUGUGCUUGCCCUUGAAAUAUGCUCAGAGUCCUGCAGUGAUUUAUUGCAGCUCUUUAUUGCAGCUUGUAAAACAGGGAUUGACUUGCCCCCCAAACCUCAGGCUUUUAUAUACAUUAUUUACACAAUGAGUCCCGUCUGAUUGGCUGAUUCUGCUUCCCUCCUGGAGCCUGAUUGGUCUUUUCCUGCAGGCCAAUCAGUUGUUGCAUUCUAGGAUCCUACUUGCCUAUUGUUCUAGGAUCCAAGCUUAGUACAUAACAGCCCUGAAAAUGAAUUGGGCCCUUAGGCAUUCCAUUUGACUGAUGCUUUCAAUUUCCACUGGGGAUUAUGGGGGUUGCAAUUUCACGCUUAUGCUCCCCGUGGGAAAAGCCGAUGCCAAUGUCACAAUGCUGGCACUGCCUUCACUUUGCAAACAGUUAAGGGAAAUAAGUGAUUUUCAAAAGAGGAGGGAAAUCCCCUCCCUGAUCCCGACCGACUUUCUUUCUUUCUUUCUUUCUUUCUUUCUUUCUUUCUUUCUUUGCUACACUUCUGCUGUUUGUAAAUUCGCCACAUCUGUUUUGCUGUUUUGACAGUCAUUUUUAUUUUUCUUGAUGCACUCCAACUCAAACGGUAUCAGCUAUUUGGGAGAUCACCAAACAGAUGUGUUGACAAUGUGUAGUCAAUCAGACUAUUUAAAUAAAAAAUGCUUUCAGAAUGAA